rnacentral:rRNA from 1 species
UACGAAGGGGACUAGCGUUGUUCGGAAUCACUGGGCGUAAAGCGCACGUAGGCGGAUGUGUCAGUCAGGGGUGAAAUCCCGGGGCUCAACCUCGGAACUGCCUUUGAUACUGGGGAUCUCGAGUCCGGGAGAGGUGAGUGGAACUGCGAGUGUAGAGGUGAAAUUCGUAGAUAUUCGCAAGAACACCAGUGGCGAAGGCGGCUCACUGGCCCGGAACUGACGCUGAGGUGCGAAAGCGUGGGGAGCAAACAGG